GCAGAGAGAAAGGGAGACACAGAAUGUGAAGCAGGCUCCAGUCUCCGAGCUGUCAGCACAGAGCCCGACGCGGGGCUUGAACCUAUGGACCGUGAGAUCAUGACCUGAGCGGAAGUCGGAAGCUUAACAGACUGAGCCCCCCAGGCGCCCCUCUGUCUCCCUUUCUUGGCUCCCCUUUCUCACUGAGGCUAGAUUUGUAGGAAGAUGUCCUCUGCGUGCAGGCUGCUGGCGGCUGUGGUCAGUGCAGAGAUGCUGUAGUUACAGAGUUAUGGUGAACCUCAGGCCUGAGCCUUGUGGGCUCCUGUUCCCUUCUCUGAAGUGAUCUCUAUGGCCUGGGGACCACAUCCCGGUUGGUCAGGCCUGGAGUGGGGGCAUGGGGUCAGCCCCACUGAAGCAUAAGUCCUCCAAGUGGUAGCGGAGUGGGUCCCUAAAGGAUUUUGGGUGCUGUAACCAAAAGAAGGCGAAUGGAUGCUGGGUGGGAAAUACAGAAAAAACCCACUUGUAUGGUGAACACAGACAUGUGAAAAAAAAGUCUGUUGGGGAAAAGCCUGGCAGGAAAUAAAGCAAAUUGCCCAGAAGAUAUUCUUUUUUUUUUUUAAGUUUAUUUUCAGAUUUUGAGAUUUUGAGAGAGAAAGAGUGCGAGUGAGCUCACGCUCUUGUGUGUGUGUGAGUAGGGGAGGGGCAGAGAGAGAGGGAGAGGGAGAAAAUCCCAAGCAGGCUCUGCAUUGUCAGAACAAAGCCUGACACAGAGCUGGUACCUACGAACUGUGAGAUCGUGACCUGAGGCAAAAUUAGGAGUCGGAUGCUUAAUCAACUGAGCCACCUAGGCACCCCCCACUCCCAAAGAUAUUCUGAUUAUUGUAACAAAAUCAGAAAAUACAUAUCAGAAAUAAUUAAAUAAAAGUAAAUAACAAUAAAAAGAAGACUCACUGUGAACCAUAUGUUGGGCUCAGUGAGUGGGAAGUCUGUUACCUUAGCACAUAGAAACUCUCUCACACACACAUCCUUCAAACACACAGAAAUGCUGGAUUAAACACUGUCCACAAUAGGUUAACUGCGUAACACCGGUAGCGAAAAGGGUGCAUAGCAGGGGGAGGCGGUCUGGCCCCAGUCCAACUGUAAGGAUGGGCCUGACUAUCUAAGCCAUUUCCCUGAGGGGGUCCCUGGAUCAGGCAUAGGCCUUCAUGCAAUGCUAGCCAUGGAGGCAUGAGAGCAAGGUGAGUUCUGCUAGAGACCUUGAGAGGUUUCCUCACUCAUUAGGAGACCCAGGAAGAGGCAGUCCUCCUCUGCUCUUGUACGUGAUCACAUUUAGUUUGGCUUCUUGUAACCAUGAGGGCACCCGGCCUGAGAAAAAGCCCCACAUAGAGAGUAGUGGAACCAUGGAGAUUAUAGAAAAGUAGAGCAAGCCUUGAUCAAACUCUACCUGCAACCACCCAGCCACCAGCUUUCCCAUGAUGGGUGGUGAUUUGUUUCCAAGUUGUUUCAGCAAAUUGAGCCAGGGCUUUCUGUUACUAGCCCCCAAAAGCGUCUUAAGGAAUAGCAUCCCUAGCCUGAAAGUCAUCCAAGGAACUUGAGCUAUGAGGCCCCACCAACCCUGCCUCUCCAGAGCACCCUGGGUCCUCUGGCUACCGUGGCCACUGCUCUCCAGUCAUAUCCCUUCUGCCUAGGCUUCAGACUUCUCCACCCCAAGACUUCUGCCCACACUGAUCCAGAAAUCUCCCCAUAGGGUCCCUCCCACACCUUUCCUUAGAUUCCUUCCUGGCUUUGGCACUCAUCUAGAGCCACCACCACGGUAGAAACACUGCAGGGCUCAUCAAAAAAGGCAAAAGCCGUCAUUUCUCCCCAGAGUCUAACAGAACUAUAAACCAAUCUAGUCCAUGGCCAUCCAUAGUGGGUUGAAUUGUGGGCCCCCCAAAGGUAUGUCUUUAUCCUAACCCCUGGAACCUGUGAAUGUGUCCUUGUUUGGACAGAGAGUCUUUGCAGACAUAGUUAAAUUAAGGGUCUUGAGAUCAUCCAGAAUUAGGGUAGGUCCUAAAUCCAAUGGCUAGUCUCUUUGGUUGUUGUUGUUUGUUUUGUUUUGUUUUGUUUUGAUUUUCAAUGGCUAGUUUCUUUACAAGAGAAGAGAAGUGUUCUGUGUUUUCUUAGGUUCUGUAAGUCUGUUUGGCAUCUAUCAAUCACAGGACCACACUAUUGGCCAGAGUAUUUACCUCUCUCCUGCAGGUCAGUUUGCCAGGAACUCUCCCUUCUGAUGCAGGCGGGCUACCUAAGGCUGAGCCCCCACCUACCUUCUGAUCUCUUGCACACCAGGCCAACAUUGUCCCUGCCCCCAAGUAAUCCCAGGGCCAGGUGCCUGCAACUGGAGACACUCCUAUAGCCCAAAGCCUGUGGGAAUUAUUCCAAAUAGCCAGUCCUGCAGGGUUUACUCAGCCUUGCCUUGCCUUCCCCUUGCUCCUGUCUUCUGCCUCCUGACCACCACGUUUCCCGUGCGGCCUUGCGUGGCGGGGCACGCCCCUUCUCUCGGGAAGUGUAAGUAAUAAAUUCUUUCGAUGACGUUGACCUCUCUGUGUCAUCUUUAGAUCACCUCCAUAACUCAAAAUCGCCCGGGUACAAAUGACCCAAUAUGGGAGAAGGAGAAGGGAGAGCACAAGGACACAGGCAAGACGGCCAUGUGAAGACAGAGCCGUGAAUUGGAGCGAUCUGAGGAACACCAGGAACCACCAGAAGCUGCAAGAGGCAAGGAAGGUUCUACCCUAGAGCUUUCAGGGGGCGCGUGUUCCUGCAGACACCGUGAUUUUGGCCCUCUGGCCUCUGGAACUGCGAGAGAAUAGCUUUCUGUUGCUGCGAGGGCCCCAGUUGUGGUGAUUUGUGACAGCAGCCCAGGAAGCUAACAGAGCAGCUGACAACGAUGAGCAGUGAUUGACUCUUGACUCAACGCACGCACAGCCUCUGAGCUACUUACUCCUCCCGACGAGGCCCGUUGUAGGUAGUGUUAUCCCAUUUCUCGGGUGGGAAAAGCGUGGCUCAGCCGGGGCCAGAGCGGGGAUGUGAGCCAGGCCAUCUGGCCAAGCCCCCAAGGCUGUGCUGCUAACCACUGGACGAUCCUGUGAGCUGAGCUCGUGGAACCACCCUUCAGAGCAGGUCAGAAUUUGCCUCCACAAACCUGUGCGUUCACACGGGGACCCCAUUCCUCUCCUUUAUCUCAGAGUCCCCAGGGCUGCCACCCACUCUCUACACCUGCUGUGAUGGGCACCUUCGCUGUGGUCACUGCUCUGGCUGUUGCCACCCAGGUGUGGCCACUGGGAUCUGGCCCACUCCCUGGGCUCCCAUGACUGCUCCUGGGAGUGGGGGCCUGGAGGCUUCUGGAGCUCUGCUGCCUUGCCCACGUGUCCCCCAUGCGCCCGUCCACCUUGAGGAGGGUGGUGCCCACGGACCCUCCCUGCCAGUGAGACCACCUUGAGGACCUGGGAAGGGUCCUGGGUGUCUGACUCUUUGACUGGUGCCUCCUCAGUUGCCCAGUCCUAGCUCUGCGCUCCCAGGGAGGCCUCUCUGAAUGUUGGCGCUCCAUAGUGGGGGGUGGUCCAGAUUCUGUAUCUUCCAGAACUCCCACUUCCUGCAUGUUCAACACACUGAGGAGACAGAGCACCCUGGGGCUCCAUUAGCAGAUGAUGUGGGAAUUUCACUUAGACAUACACUGGAUUUGCUUGGAAGAAAUCGGUUAAGAGGCCGCAUGGGGCAGAGACUUAGACCCCAAAGGAAUUCUCAAGUGACAAAAAACAGUUGCCAUUCUGCUUUCUAAGGAGGUGGAUGCUGUUAGCAGAACGUCUUUGUUCGGGAAGAAUUGGGUUUGGGCCAGAUUGUUCUGCGGGAGAGAGGGAGUGAGGAGGGAUUUUGAAGUGAAGUGAAGAAAUGGAUGCGGAGUUACAGGUGGGCAGCAAGGCAGCUGCCCUGAGAAAGGAGGCAAGGUCCGGCCCCCUGGGGGUAGAGCCAGGGGCAGGGGCUCAGGAGAACAGAAAUCCCUAUGGGGAAUUUUCAAGUUAUUUGCGUGGAGAUCUCCAAGGUCAACCCCUCCCCUCCCCCCGCCCUCCACAACAUCAAAAACCACACUUGUUUUCUAGUGCUUUUGUGUGAAUGCUGGCAGCCGAGGACUGUGGGCCCUGGGGGAGUGUGUGCUCCUAGCAGGGGUAGUGGAGGGCCCCGUACACAGUGGUGGUGGGAAAAUCUGUUAAGUGUUUGGAGAACCUUGGGUAAAACUCUCACUUUCACCAGAUUUUAAAGAGGUAAACGCAAAAAACGAAAGAGAAAAGAGAGCAGUCAUAAGUAAACUAAAAGAAAAUAUUUCAUUUUGGGAAGAAGAAGGAUUUUCUAAAUAUAAGAGUCAGUAAAGAAAUCCCAAAGGAAAAGAUAGACACAGGUCAAAAAAUGCUAAAAGACUUAAGAGCAAACCACAGUCUGGGUAAAAAUAUUUGCUACGAAUACCACACAGGGUUAAUGUCUGUAUUGUUAAAAACAAUUUUUUUUAAUAUUUAUUUAUUUUUGAGAGAGAGACACAGAGUGUGAGUGGGGGAGGGGCAGAGAGAGAGGGAGACACAGAAUCUGAAACAGGCUCCAGGCUCCGAGCUGUCAGCACAGAGCCCGACACGGGGCUCGAACUCACAGACUGAGAGAUCAUGCUCUGAGCCGAAGUCGGACGCUUAACCGACCAAGCCACCCAGGUGCCCCUAAUAUCUGUACUGUUGUUGGGGAGGAAAAAUUUUUCUUUUUCUUUACUCUCCUAAGGUUCUUCUCACUGGUCUAAGAAUUAAAUUGACAUGAGACUGAUGAACAGGAGAAAAUAAAAUUUAACUGCAGAAAUCCCACAUAUGUGACAGAUUAAAACACAGACAGGUAAAAUGAGGUAUAUAUGCCAUCUUGAGCUAAGGAAUGGGAUAGGACCUGGGCUUCAAAGAGGAGGAGGGCAAUUUACAGGGCAGUAAGAACAGGUCCAGAUGUUUGGUAUUAGAUGUUUGCCCAGCCAUACAGAUGGGUCACUCAGAUAAGGUUUCUCUCUGGAGAUAACUCUUAUUCUGGGAAAGACUCCCAGUUUAGAUCCCUAUAGGUAAUUAAGGAAGAGGCAAAAGUUUCUCUUUUUUUUUCUUUUCCUAAAUCAACAUGAGUAUUUAUUUAUUAUUUUUUAAAUUUUAUUUUUUAUGUUUAAAAAUUUACAUCCAAAUUAGCAUAUAGUGCAACAAUGAUUUCAGGAGUAGAUUCCUUAGUGCCCCUCCCCCAUUUAGCCCAUCCCCCCUCCCACACCCCAUCCCUAACCCUCAGUUUGUUCUCCAUAUUUGAGUCUCUUAUGUUUUGUCCCCUUCCCUGUUUUUAUAUUAUUUUUGCUUCCCUUCCCUUAUGCUCAUCUGUUUUGUCUCUUAAAGUCCUCAUAUGAGUGAAGUUGUAUGAUUUUUGUCUUUCUCUGACUGACUAAUUUCACUUAGCAGAAUACCCUCUAGUUCCAUACAUGUGGUUGCCAAUGGCAAGAUUUCAUUCUUUUUGAUGGCCGAGUAAUACUCCAUUGUAUCUAUAUACCACAUCUUCUUUAUCCAUUCAUCCAUUGAUGGACAUUUGGGCUCUUUCCAUCCUUUGGCUAUUGUUGAUAGUGCUGCUAUAAACAUGGGGUGCAUGUGUCCCUUCGAAACAGCACACCUGUAUCCCGUGGAUAAAUGCUUAGUAGUGCAAUUGCUGGGUCGUAGGGUAGUUCUAUCUUUAAUUUUUUGAAGAACCUCCAUACUGUUUUCCAGAGUAGCUGCACCAGCUUGCAUUCCCAGAAGAGGCAAAAGUUUCUCUUGAGUCCACGGGGCCUCAAUUGCCUUCAACUCAAAAUAGUCCACAUGCAAAAGUAGUACGUUUGUGGGAGACUUGUUCAGAACCUUUUUACUAUAUAGAGAUUCCAAACAGGUUGAUAAGACACCAUUAAUACCCAAUGGCACAAUAUGCAAAAGACCAGAAAAGACCAUUCGCCAAAGAAAUCUAAAUGACUAAUAAACAUGGGAAAGUAUUUAAAUUAGUAGCCAAAGACUUAUAAGACAAAAAAGCAAGGUAUAUUUAGGUAGUGGGAUUAUAAAUGACCCAAUAACAUUGCUUUCUUUUGGUGAACUGCAUUUUCUAAUUCUUUUUUUUAGUAACCUCAUUUAUUACUUGUCUUAAGAGAAGGUUCGGAAAGCACAUGAUACUAUCAAAUAACAAAUGUCUAGCUAAUGUCAGUGACUUUUAGUUCUGGCGGAUCGUGGGCAUUUUUUUUUCUUUCAAGCUUUUGUGCAUUUUUAACUUCUAGGAUUCAUUUGUCUUUUCAACAACAACUAAAUAGCACUUUACGUAAUAGAACAAAUUUGCAAGUUAAAAUAAAUUCCUUCUUGCUAACCUCCCAGAAGUCUGGGCCCUGUAUGCAAAUAGGAUUCCUGGGAACACCCACACACCCACUCCCCAGCAGGAAGGCCAGUUGAACCCGAGAGACUCUCUCUCCCACCCCAUCUCCCAAACAAAGGGGUACUUUAGCCCUUCCCAAACCACAUGUACACCCCCUCAAGCUGCCCUGCCCCCAUCUCCAGGGUCCUCCCUGAUGCCUCCUCCCCCUCAGGUUUGGCCUGCCAGUGCGGAGGGGUGGGCCAUCCACGCCCCUCGGAGGCUGGGCGAGGUGGCCACGCAGUGUCCCGAGGGGGCCCUGGUACAGACUAGCUUUGAGAGGUCAGAAUCAAACUGUGAUCUCCGCCCACAAGUGCCACCAUCCACCCUCCAAUUACUCCUGGGUGUCUGUUCUGGGCUGAAUUGUAUCCUCUCAAACUUCACGUGUUGAAGUCCUAACCCCCAGUACCUCCGAAUGUGACUGUUAUGUGGAGAUGAGGCCUUUAAAGGGGUAAUUAAGUUAGGAGGAGGUCAUUAGGGUGGGCUUUAAUGCAAUGUGACUGGUGUCCUUGUGAGAAGAGGACAUUUGGAUGCAUACACAGAGGGGAGAAUGGCAUGUGAGCCUGAAGACCAUGUAUAAAUCAAGGAAAGGCUGGGAACGGCCCUCAGCACCCAGAGGGAACGGGUCCUACCGACACCUUCAUAUCUGAACUUCUGUGAGCAAAUACAUUUCUGUUGUUCGAGACUCCCAGUCUGUGGCACUUGGUUCUGGCAGUCCCGGCUGACUAAUACAGAGUCCGUGGGCACAGGAUUAGGCUUUCAAAUGGAAUCCCAAAGAGGUUUAGAUGGCUACUUGCAAAAACCGUAUUACCCAGUUUGAGAGACAAGUUACCUAGCAGUUGUCACAACACAGCCCAGCGGACCAAACGCACAUUCCCAGGAACGUGCAGGUUCCCAGAAUCUAGGAUGUUGGCAGGACUUACGGACGGGGCCAGCCAGAGGCCAAACCAUGGGGUGUGGUGGGGGGUGGGGGCCAUAGGGCUUUGCUUUCAGGCUUCUCUGAUCUCUCCCAGCCUCCCCCCUACCUCCAUCUGCUAGUCACCUACAGGGUACAGGGCUGGGGGCAGGGGUGGGGGCGUGGAGGCGGCAGAGCCUUGAGCCACCCCUCUGCUCACAGCUGCCAGUCUGCAUGGAGCCAGCUUUGCUCCAGCCUCAGGGCAUCCUUCAGGCUGUGUUGCCACAUCUGACCCCUGUGGAUGGUUGACCCAUUUGGAUGGGCUGUGCCUGCUGUCUGUUCUUACCAGAUGCCCCUCAACACAGAGGAGUGGGGAGAGGGGUUCUUUCCCCUCAGAGCAGAUUUCCCCAGUGGUACUGCUCUAAGGGAGAAUUAUUCACUGCUCUCUCGCUCCACACUUGCCGUUUUAGCCUCCUUAGCUCAGGAAAGAAUGAUUUGGAGAAACGAUGAAAAGCUUUAGGUCCUUCCCUGGAAAAAUGCGCAUGCACAGACCCCCCUGCGCCCCACCUCUGAGAUUCGAACUGUUUCUGGUUAUUUGCAUUCCAGGGACCCGCAGACUCCUGAAACUCACCUGCCGUGUGGCUUAUAGGCAAACAGAGGUGUGGACAGGUGGAGGGAGGUUGGGCAGGGAUGCAGUCCAGGAGAAAUUCACCAAAGAAGUGGCCUCUGCGGGGAAGUUGUAAGAACACUCUGGCUGAUCCCGGAAGGCUGUCCCUAGAGGGAGGAAGAGGUCUCAUUUCCUCCUGGAAGCCAAUGGAGUGUUGGAGGAUUCUGGGCAGAAGGGAGGCAUGGAGGAAGCGGGGCUUUGGGAGCAAGUCUCUAAAAGCAUAGCCCUGGGGCGCCUGACUGGCUCAGUUGGUUAAGCCUGCGACUUUGGCUCAGGUCAUGAUCUCCUGAUUCGUGAGUUAGAAUCCCAUGUUGGGCUCUGUGCUGACGGCUCAGAGCCUGGAGCCUGCUUCGGAUUCUGUGUCUCCCUCUCCCUCUGUUCCUCCCCCACUUGCACUCUGUCUCUCAAAAAUAAAUAAAGAUUAAAAACAAUUUUAAAAAUUUGACAAAAUUUGACAAAAUUAAGGAUUUCCAGAUGAGAUCAUCCUGGCAUUAGGGUGGGCCCUAAAUCCAACGACCGGGGUCCUUAGAAGAGAAAGGGGAAGGAGUGGAGAAUGAGACACAGAGGGAACCACAUGAAGACAGAGGCAGAAGGGGAGUGAGUGCCAUGUCUUACAGGCCCAGGAACACGCAGGGUGGCCAGCAACCACCAGAAGUUAGGGGAGAGGCGUGGAGCGAAUUUUCUCUCAAAGCUCCAGAAGGAACCAACCUUGCUGACACCUUGAUUUCUGACUUCUGGUCUCCAGAACUGUGAGAGCAUAAAGCCAUCCAGUGUGCUGGUUUAUGACCACAGCCCUAGAAACUAACAUGGCUUCAUAUGGUGAUCGUAGGUGUUGGAAAAGGACCUCCUGGUUGAGUAAGUUUUGGGACCUGUGAUAAACUAUAGCCUUCUUUGCUGAGGAACCGCUCAGAGUGCUUUGAGAGGCUAUGGAGCUUUAGGAAUUUCCAAGGCGGGUGGGAAUCAGUAUGGAACACUCACUUCCCAAGCAUAACUAAUCAAGAAACUCUUAUGUCUUAGCUCGGGCUGCCAUAACAGAACAUCACAGACUGAGUGAACACUUCCGGAGGCUGCAAAUCCACGAUCAAGGUGUCGGCUGGGUUGGUUUCUGGCUCAACCCUGUAACCCUGUGCAAGUAUCCAAGUCCUCCACCCUCCAGGCAUGGGGGCCAGCCUUCUGGAUAGCUAGAUGCCACGGCUCUACUGUGCAUCACCGAGAGACAUGAUGGGUCAGCCCAGGGCACUGUGGGAAGGCAGGAAGCGGCCCUGACCUGAAUGUGGAUGAGCUUAGGAGCUGAGGAAUCAUUUAUUCACUCAAUAUGUAUCGGGCGCUGCCUCCUAUGACCCGAUGUGGGGAAGGCACAAGAGAAUGAGAUGGUGUGGCACAUUCUUCUGGAACUUUCAGACACAGACAAUAAGCACGAAAAGAAACAAAAUCAUUCCAGACUGUGACUUGCCUUCUGGACAUUUCGUAUGAGUGGAGUCACAGAACAUGUGGAUUUUUGUGACUGGCUUCUUUCACUUUCCAAGGCUCAUUCAAGCUACAGGAUGUAUCUCUACUUCAUUCCAUUGUACGGCCAAAUGAUAUUCCAUUAUAUGAAUGUAUCACAUUUUAUUUUUCCAUGUGUCCAUUGAUGGACAUUUGGGUUGUUUCCACCUUUUGACUAUCCUGAAUACAUCCUGCUGUAAACAUUCAUGCACAAGUUUUUCUGGGGACAUGUGUUUUCAUUUCUUUUGGGUGUAUACUUAGGGGUGGAAUUGCUGGGUUAUACGGUACCUCUCCGUUUAAUCAUUUGAGGAACCAGCAAACUGUUUUCCAAAGUCACUACACCAUUUUCCAUUCCUACAGGGCUGUAUGAGAAUAUAGUUAGCUAUUAAUGCACAACAAAUCACUCCAAAACUUAGCAGGUUAAAACAAUACACAUUUGGGGUGCCUGGGUGGCUCAGUCCAUUAAGUGUCCAACUUCAGCUCAGGUCAUGGUCUCGCGGUGCUUGAGUUCAAGCCCCGCAUUGGGCUCUGUGCUGACAGCUCAGAGCCUGGAGCCUGCUUCGGAUUCUGUGUCUCCCUCUCUCUCUGCCUCUCCCCUUCUCGUGCUCUCUGUCUCUCUCAAAAAUAAAUAAACAUUAAAAAAACCAAUAAAUGUUUGCUAUAUCACACAGUUUUCGAGGGUCAGGAACCCAGGAGCAGCUCAACUAGGUGGUUCUAGCUCAGGGUUCUGCUUAGGGUCUCUCAUGAGGCUGGAAUCAUCAAAAGGUUUGACUGUGUCGGGGAAUCCACUUCCAACAUGGCCACAUGGCUGUCUCACUUGCCUGACGAGGGAGUGUUGGUUGUUGACAGGAGUCCUUAUGCACCUUUCCUAUGUGUACCUUCCCCUGGAUUGCUUGAGCAUCCUCAUAACAUGGCAGCUGGCUUCUGCCAAGAACAAGAGAUCCAAAAGGGAAAAAGGCAGGAGCUACAAUUCUUUUAUGAUCUAGCCUUGGAUAUCAUACACUGUCGUUUCUGUAACAUCCUAUCACACAGUUCAGCCAUUUUCAGUGUGGAAAGGAAAUACACACGGUGUGAGUCCCGGGAAACAGGGGUCAUCGGAGGCCAUCUUGGAAGUCGCCUAUCACAUGAGACAUUUUCCCACCCACUCCCAUCCCUCAUUGGGAGGGUUGCUCCUGGGGUGUUAAGUCCCUGGAACUUUUGGCCUAAACCAGAACAUGCUGAAGACACCAUCAUGCUGAAGACCGGUCUCCCUUUGGCCUAACUCUGAUUUCAGCUGUGCCUAUGGAGGAAGGGUCCCGACUCAAGUGCCUGCCUUGCUCCCUCCACUUUCUGCCCCAGUACCUUCUCUGACACACAACAGCCCUCUGGAUUCUUGUACAAACACAACCAGAAAAUGCAGGAUGCUAAGAGCCCUGGGAGGAAGCCAAUUAACAACCAAUUAUCUGGUCCUCCAGGCAGAUGGGUUUGGGAGGCAUGUAAGCUGCCCUGCUUCAGGAGCUAAGGCAAAGAAAACUGAACUUGUCUCCAAUUAUUCAUUAUUUUACAGAAAGGCUGUGCCUGGUAUCCUCUUACCUCA